AAUGAACGUUGGCGGCGUGGAUUAGGCAUGCAAGUCGAGCGCUCAUCAGCAAUGGUGGGAGCGGCGAACGGCGUAGUAAUGCAUCGGAACGUACCCUCUGGUCGGGGAUAGCUACGGGAAACUGUAGGUAAUACCCGAUGAACUCUGCGGAGCAAAGGUGAGAUUCCGCCGGAGGAGCGGCUGAUGUGAUAUUAGCUAGUUGGUGGGGUAAAGGCCUACCAAGGCGAUGAUGUCUAGGGGGUGUGAGAGCAUGGCCCCCACGACCGGAACUGAGAUACUGUCCGGACACCUACGGGUGGCUGCAGUCGAGAAUCUUCCGCAAUGGACGAAAGUCUGACGGAGCGACGCCGCGUGCGGGAUGAAGGCCCUUGGGUUGUAAACCGCUGUCAGAGGGGAUGAAAUCGUCGGAGGUACUCCUCCGAUGUUGACAGAGCCUCAAAGGAAGCACGGGCUAAGUACGUG
rnacentral:rRNA from 1 species